AGCGAACGCUGGCGGCAGGCUUAACACAUGCAAGUCGAACGGGCACUUCGGUGUCAGUGGCAGACGGGUGAGUAACACGUGGGAACGUACCUUUUGGUUCGGAACAACUGAGGGAAACUUCAGCUAAUACCGGAUAAGCCCUAACGGGGAAAGAUUUAUCGCCGAAAGAUCGGCCCGCGUCCGAUUAGCUAGUUGGUGAGGUAAUGGCUCACCAAGGCGACGAUCAGUAGCUGGUCUGAGAGGAUGAUCAGCCACAUUGGGACUGAGACACGGCCCAACCUCCUACGGGAUGCAGCAGUGGGGAAUAUUGGACAAUGGGCGCAAGCCUGAGCCAUCCAUGCCGCGUGAGUGAUGAAGGCCCUAGGGUUGUAAAGCUCUUUUGUGCGGGAAGAUAAUGACGGUACCGCAAGAAUAAGCCCCGGCUAACCUCGUGCCAGCAGCCGCCGUAA
rnacentral:rRNA from 1 species